AACGAACGCUGGCGGCAUGCCUAACACAUGCAAGUCGAACGAAACCUUCGGGUCUAGUGGCGCACGGGUGCGUAACGCGUGGGAACCUGCCCUUAGGUUCGGAAUAACUCCCCGAAACUGGUGCUAAUACCGGAUAAUGUCUUCGGACCAAAGAUUUAUCGCCUUUGGAUGGGCCCGCGUUGGAUUAGCUAGUUGGUAGGGUAACAGCCCACCAAGGCGACGAUCCGUAGCUGGUCUGAGAGGAUGAUCAGCCACACUGGGACUGAGACACGGCCCAGACUCCUACGGGAGGCAGCAGUGGGGAAUAUUGGACAAUGGGCGAAAGCCUGAUGCAGCAAUGCCGCGUGAGUGAUGAAGGUCUUAGGGUUGUAAAGCUCUUUUACCCGGGAUGAUAAUGACAGUACCGGGAGAAGAAGCCCCGGCUAACUCCGUG
rnacentral:rRNA from 1 species